rnacentral:rRNA from 1 species
CCCCUAGAUGUUCUGGGCCACACGCGCGCUACACUGAACAGUUCAACAAGUCUUAACCUUGGCCGAUAGGUCUGGGUAAUCUUUGAACGCUGUUCGUGAUUGGGAUAGACCUUUGCAAUUAUGGGUCUUCAACGAGGAAUUCCUAGUAAACGCAAGUCAUCAGCUUGCAUUGAUUACGUCCCUGCCCUUUGUACACACCGCCCGUCGCACCUACCGAUUGAAUGGUCCGGUGAAAUCUCGGGACGGCGGCUUGGUCGCUUGCGUCCGACUGCUGAAACUUGAUUAAACCAUAUCAUUUAGAGGAAGGUGAAGUCGUAACA